AGAGUUUGAUCCUGGCUCAGGAUGAACGCUGGCGGCGUGCCUAAUACAUGCAAGUCGAGCGAACGGACGAGAAGCUUGCUUCUCUGAUGUUAGCGGCGGACGGGGGAGUAACACGUGGAUAACCUACCUAUAAGACUGGGAUAACUUCGGGAAACCGGAGCUAAUACCGGAUAAUAUUUUGAACCGCAUGGUUCAAAAGUGAAAGACGGUCUUGCUGUCACUUAUAGAUGGAUCCGCGCUGCAUUAGCUAGUUGGUAAGGUAACGGCUUACCAAGGCAACGAUGCAUAGCCGACCUGAGAGGGUGAUCGGCCACACUGGAACUGAGACACGGUCCAGACUCCUACGGGAGGCAGCAGUAGGGAAUCUUCCGCAAUGGGCGAAAGCCUGACGGAGCAACGCCGCGUGAGUGAUGAAGGUCUUCGGAUCGUAAAACUCUGUUAUUAGGGAAGAACAUAUGUGUAAGUAACUGUGCACAUCUUGACGGUACCUAAUCAGAAAGCCACGGCUAACUACGUGCCAGCAGCCGCGGUAAUACGUAGGUGGCAAGCGUUAUCCGGAAUUAUUGGGCGUAAAGCGCGCGUAGGCGGUUUUUUAAGUCUGAUGUGAAAGCCCACGGCUCAACCGUGGAGGGUCAUUGGAAACUGGAAAACUUGAGUGCAGAAGAGGAAAGUGGAAUUCCAUGUGUAGCGGUGAAAUGCGCAGAGAUAUGGAGGAACACCAGUGGCGAAGGCGACUUUCUGGUCUGUAACUGACGCUGAUGUGCGAAAGCGUGGGGAUCAAACAGGAUUAGAUACCCUGGUAGUCCACGCCGUAAACGAUGAGUGCUAAGUGUUAGGGGGUUUCC
rnacentral:rRNA from 1 species